ACGAACGCUGGCGGCACGCUUAACACAUGCAAGUCGAACGAGAGAAGAGAAGCUUGCUUUUCUGAUCUAGUGGCGGACGGGUGAGUAACACGUGAGCAAUCUGCCUUUCAGAGGGGGAUACCGAUUGGAAACGAUCGUUAAUACCGCAUAACAUAAUUGAACCGCAUGAUUUGAUUAUCAAAGAUUUAUCGCUGAAAGAUGAGCUCGCGUCUGAUUAGCUAGUUGGUAAGGUAACGGCUUACCAAGGCGACGAUCAGUAGCCGGACUGAGAGGUUGAUCGGCCACAUUGGGACUGAGACACGGCCCAGACUCCUACGGGAGGCAGCAGUGGGGAAUAUUGCACAAUGGAGGAAACUCUGAUGCAGCGAUGCCGCGUGAGGGAAGAAGGUUUUAGGAUUGUAAACCUCUGUCUUCAGGGACGAAAAAAGACGGUACCUGAGGAGGAAGCUCCGGCUAACUACGUGCCAGCAGCCGCGGUAAUACGUAGGGAGCGAGCGUUGUCCGGAAUUACUGGGUGUAAAGGGAGCGUAGGCGGGAUCGCAAGUCAGAUGUGAAAACUAUGGGCUUAACCCAUAAACUGCAUUUGAAACUGUGGUUCUUGAGUGAAGUAGAGGUAAGCGGAAUUCCUAGUGUAGCGGUGAAAUGCGUAGAUAUGAGGAGGAACAUCAGUGGCGAAGGCGGCUUACUGGGCUUUAACUGACGCUGAGGCUCGAAAGCGUGGGGAGCAAACAGGAUUAGAUACCCUGGUAGUCCACGCCGUAAACGAUGAUUACUAGGUGUGGGGGGACUGACCCCUUCCGUGCCGCAGCAAACGCAAUAAGUAAUCCACCUGGGGAGUACGACCGCAAGGUUGAAACUCAAAGGAAUUGACGGGGGCCCGCACAAGCAGUGGAGUAUGUGGAUUAAUUCGAAGCAACGCGAAGAACCUUACCAGGUCUUGACAUCGUAUGCAUAGCUCAGAGAUGAGUGAAAUCUCUUCGGAGACAUAUAGACAGGUGGUGCAUGGUUGUCGUCAGCUCGUGUCGUGAGAUGUUGGGUUAAGUCCCGCAACGAGCGCAACCCUUACUGUUAGUUGCUACGCAAGAGCACUCUAGCAGGACUGCCGUUGACAAAACGGAGGAAGGUGGGGAUGACGUCAAAUCAUCAUGCCCCUUAUGACCUGGGCCUCACACGUACUACAAUGGCUGUCAACAGAGGGAUGCAAAGCCGCGAGGUGGAGCGAACCCCUAAAAGCAGUCUUAGUUCGGAUUGUAGGCUGCAACCCGCCUACAUGAAGUCGGAAUUGCUAGUAAUCGCAGAUCAGCAUGCUGCGGUGAGUACGUUCCCGGGCCUUGUACACACCGCCCGUCACGCCAUGGGAGUCGGUAACACCCGAAGCCUGUAGUCUAACCGCAAGGAGGACGCAGUCGAAGGUGGGAUUGAUGACUGGGGUG
rnacentral:rRNA from 1 species